rnacentral:lncRNA from 1 species
GGAUGGUAGGUCAGGAGGAGUAACCUGGUGGCCACGCCUCCACGGGCAGGAGUCCUCUGCUCACGGAGCCUCACCGGCUCCCCCGGCUCAGUUUCCCUCAUCUGCCUUUUCCACUGUUCUGUGAACAGUGCUGGCUCCAGAAACUGUGCAGAAGGGACUGGGCUGGGUUUCCUGACCUGGGCGAAACGUGUGGGGACCAGGACAAUACUCAGGUUCCCCCCGGGCAUGCCAGCUCUGAGCAGUGGCAGAGGCUGCUGUGCAGAAAGGGAUGCUGAGGCCAUUUGCAGGCUCCGCUGGCCAGAGUGCUGGGACUGAUGAGCAGUGUCUGCCCUUGUCCGGGGACUGGUGGACGGAUGCUCCAGAUACUGAGGCAUCAUGCCUGGCCUAGGCCCACGGUUCCCAACCUGGAACUAGCACAGAAGUCACAGGGGACCUUCAUGUGCAGAUUCAGUUUUUUCACAUAUUUGCGAACAGAACUGAACACCCGCUCCCCACUGUCCAGCACUGUCCAGAUACCCGUCACAUCUCUGAUCCUUGGAACAGCCCAGACAGCAGCUGCCACCCCAGCCAGGAGCCGGCCGUGCAUUCUGAUGGCAGGGUGGUGUUGCGGCUGAAGAGAGUCCCAAGUCCCCAGGAAAGGCAAGCAGAGAGCAGGCAGCCUCUGCUGCCCCUUGCAAGAGGCGGGAAGGGCUUCUCAGCACUGGCCUGUCACUCGUCCCCACACAUCUCCCGGCCUGUGUUCUGGGCCAGGCGUGCACGUGUGACCCGUCUCCGCCGUCACAGGCUGCCCACUUGGUGAGCGAGGUGGGACAGCCUGGUGGUGGGUAGCCCAGCCUUAUGGUCUCCCCGGUUUAAUCUUCGGCUCCGCCGCUCAGCAGCAGGUGACCUUUCGUUUAAGUCCUGUGACUUUUCAG